AUUGAACGCUGGCGGCAGGCCUAACACAUGCAAGUCGAGCGGAAGGGGCUUCGGCCCUGAGAGCGGCGGACGGGUGAGGAGAGCGUGGGAAUCUGCCUGCAGAUGGGGGAUAGCCCGGAGAAAUCCGGAUUAAUACCGCAUAAUACCUGAGGGUUAAAGUGGAGGAUCGCAAGACUUCACGUCUACAGAUGAGCCCACGUCAGAUUAGCUAGUUGGUAGGGUAAAGGCCUACCAAGGCGACGAUCUGUAGCUGGCCUGAGAGGGUGGCCAGCCACACUGGAACUGAGACACGGUCCAGACUCCUACGGGAGGCAGCAGUGGGGAAUAUUGGACAAUGGGCGCAAGCCUGAUCCAGCCAUGCCGCGUGUGUGAAGAAGGCCUUCGGGUUGUAAAGCACUUUAAGUUGGGAGGAAGGUUCCUUGGCUAAUAUCCAAGGGAAUUGACGUUACCGACAGAAUAAGCACCGGCUAAUUCCGUGCUAGCAGCCGCAGUAA
rnacentral:rRNA from 1 species